rnacentral:tRNA from 1 species
CAGAUUGUAGCUUAUAUAAAAGUUUUUCAUUUACAUUGAUUUGAAAUUAAUUUCUGUCUGA